AUGAACCAGAGCCGAAACAAAGAGGUCUGUCGGGACGGCGGGUUUGUGCCUGGGUCCCCAGAGCUGUGCAAACACGGGACAGCUGGACUUUGGGGCCGGUUCCAAGCUGACGGUGCUGGUACUUCGGCGCGGGGACGCGGCUGUCGGUGUUGGGUGAGCGCGGCGCGCGGCGCGGCGGGGUUCUUGGCUGGGGGCCCGGGGCCGUGCUUUACAGCCUCCGCCCUGACCUUCGGGGCGGGCAGCCGGCUGACCGUCGUGGAGAACCUGGAAAAGGUCAAACCUCCCACGGUCACAGUGUUUGAACCAUCAGAAGCAGAGAUCUCCCGCACCCAGAAGGCCACACUCGUGUGCCUGGCCACGGGCUUCUACCCCGACCACGUGGAGCUGAGCUGGUGGGUGAACGGCAAGGAGGUCCAGAAUGGGGUCAGCACAGACCCGCAGCCCUACAAGGAGCGGCCCAACGAGAAUGACUCCAGCUACUGUCUGAGCAGCCGGCUGAGGGUGUCCUCUGCCUUCUGGCACAACCCUCGCAACUACUUCCGCUGCCAAGUCCAGUUCCACGGGCUCAGGGACGAUGAUGAGUGGGACAACGCCAGCCGGGCCAAACCCAUCACCCAGAACAUCAGUGACGAGAUCCAGGGCAGAGCAGACUGUGGCUUCACUUCGGUGUCCUAUCAGCAGGGCAUCCUGUCUGCCACCAUCCUCUAUGAGAUCCUGCUGGGGAAGGCCACCCUGUAUGCCGUGCUGGUCAGCGCCCUGGUGCUGAUGGCCAAGGUCAAAAGAAAGGGUUCCUGAGACCAGCUCUGAAAGUGCAUCCUGAGUUGCUCAUCAUCCUCACCCCAGAUUCUCCUUGACAUGCUUCCAGUCUGCAUUUCUAAAAGUUAUUCUCUCUCCACCUCUUAUCUCUUUCCUGAUGGGAUAUCUGUCCCUUCUCUAUGCUUCCCUGCAGACUGAGCUCCUCAACCCUGAAACUGAAAUAGACUAAAACAAUAAAAGUGUCUUGCCGGGC